UACGAAGGGGGCUAGCGUUGUUCGGAAUUACUGGGCGUAAAGCGCACGUAGGCGGGUCGGUAAGUUAGAGGUGAAAUCCCGGGGCUCAACCCCGGAACUGCCUUUGAUACUGGCGAUCUAGAGGUCGAGAGAGGUGAGUGGAAUUCCGAGUGUAGAGGUGAAAUUCGUAGAUAUUCGGAAGAACACCAGUGGCGAAGGCGGCUCACUGGCUCGAUACUGACGCUGAGGUGCGAAAGCGUGGGGAGCAAACAGG
rnacentral:rRNA from 1 species